rnacentral:rRNA from 1 species
UGCCAGCAGCCGCGGUAAGACGGAGGGUGCAAACGUUGUUCGGAAUUACUGGGCAUAAAGCGCACGUAGGCGGCGCGCUCAGUCGGGUGUGAAAGCCCUCGGCUCAACCGAGGAAUGGCACCCGAUACUAGCGUGCUAGAGGACGGUUGGGGUGAGUGGAACUCCUGGUGGAGCGGUGAAAUGCGUAGAUAUCAGGAGGAACACCGGUGGCGAAAGCGGCUCACUGGGCCGUCUCUGACGCUGAGGUGCGAAAGCUAGGGGAGCGAACGGGAUUAGAUA